rnacentral:rRNA from 1 species
CCUACGGGGGGCAGCAGUGGGGAAUAUUGCACAAUGGGGGAAACCCUGAUGCAGCGACGCCGCGUGAAGGAAGAAGUAUUUCGGUAUGUAAACUUCUAUCAGCAGGGAAGAAAAUGACGGUACCUGACUAAGAAGCCCCGGCUAACUACGUGCCAGCAGCCGCAGUAAUACGUAGGGGGCAAGCGUUAUCCGGAUUUACUGGGUGUAAAGGGAGCGUAGGCGGCUUAGCAAGUCAGAAGUGAAAGCCCGGGGCUCAACUCCGGGACUGCUUUUGAAACUGUGGAACUGGAGUGCAGGAGAGGUAAGUGGAAUUCCUGGUGUAGCGGUGAAAUGCGUAGAUAUUAGGAGGAACACCAGUGGCGAAGGCGGCUUACUGGACUGUAAAUGACGCUGAGGCUCGAAAGCGUGGGGAGCAAACAGGAUUAGAUACCCCGGUAGUC